CCAAGUGCUUUCUCAGCUGGAGAAGCGCUUGGGCUUGCGAGGCUUGCAAUUGGUAAGCUCCACCACGUAAGAAAGUGCAAGCGAAGCUGAGAACCUCUGUUUCAGAAACAUCAAAAUGGCGAAGGGUUUCAAGCAAUCA